rnacentral:rRNA from 1 species
UCUGGUUGAUCCUGCCAGUAGUCAUAUGCUCGUCUCAAAGAUUAAGCCAUGCAUGUCUAAGUAUAAAUAGUAUACAGUGAAACUGCGAAUGGCUCAUUAAAACAGUUAUAGUUUAUUUGAUAAUUGACAAUUACAUGGAUAACCGUGGUAAUUCUAGAGCUAAUACAUGCUUAAACGCCCGACUUUAUGGAAGGGUGGUAUUUAUUAGACUGAAGCCAAUAUUCCUUGUGUCUAUUGCGGUGAUUCAUAAUAACUGAUCGAAUCUCUUUUUGAGAUAAAUCAUUCAAGUUUCUGCCCUAUCAGCUUUCGAUGGUAGUGUAUUGGACUACCAUGGCAGUAACGGGUAACGAAGAAUUAGGGUUCGAUUUCGGAGAGGGAGCAUGAGAAACGGCUACCACAUCUAAGGAAGGCAGCAGGCGCGUAAAUUACCCAAUCCUGACUCAGGGAGGUAGUGACAAGAAAUAGCAAACCGGGAACCUCAUGGUUUCACGGUAUUGCAAUGAGAACAAUUUAAAACCCUUAGCGAGAAUCAAGUGGAGGACAAGUCUGGUGCCAGCACCCGCGGUAAUUCCAGCUCCACUAGCGUAUAUUAAAGUUGUUGCAGUUAAAAAGCUCGUAGUUGAACCUCUGUCUGGGGCUAGUUUUGGCUUUGGUCAGGCUAGUUCUAGGCAUCCGCCUACAAGACUUAGAGGGCAUUCAGUUGUUCACUAGGAGGAGUAGGCAUUUUACUUUGAAAAAAUUAGAGUGUUUAAGGCAGGCAAUCGCCCGCAUAUAUUAGCAUGGAAUAAUAGAAUAGGACACUUUUCCAUUUCGUUGGUUAUUGGAAUCGUGUAAUGAUUAAUAGGGACAGUUGUGGGCAUUUGUAUUUAAUUGUCAGAGGUGAAAUUCUUGGAUUUAUUAAAGACAAACUAACGCGAAAGCAUUUGCCAAGGAUGUUUUCAUUAAUCAAGAACGAAAGUUAGGGGAUCAAAGACGAUCAGAUACCGUCCUAGUCUUAACUAUAAACUAUUCCGACUCAAUGUUUGACUGGCUUAUAUAACCAGUUGAGCGUUGUAUGAGAAAUCAAAGUCUUUAGGUUCUGGGGGGAGUAUGGUUGCAAAGCUGAAACUUAAAGGAAUUGACGGAAGAGCACAACCAGGAGUGGAUUCUGCGGCUUAAUUUGACUCAACACGGGGAAACUUACCAGGUUAAAACAAUAGUGGGAUUGACAGUUUGAGAGCGCUUUCUUGAUUGGUUGGGUGGUGGUGCAUGGCCGUUCUUAGUUGGUGGAGUGAUUUGUCUGCUUAAUUGCGUUAAUGAACGAGACCUUAACCUGCUUACUAGACUGGCGAUCAUCAAUCGUUAGCUCUUCUUAGAGGGACUUUGGUCG